rnacentral:misc_RNA from 1 species
AAGUCGUAACAAGGUUUCCGUAGGUGAACCUGCGGAAGGAUCAUUAAUACGUACUUUCACGUAUCACUCAAUCGUGGACUUGUCCCGCUUUUUGUGGAGAGUUGAAGGCGAAAUUUGUGGUCAUUUUUCACCAGCGUGGGAAAGAGAAUAUUCGCAAGGAUUUCUCUUUUUGACCUGUUCGCCGAGGAUUCAUAAAUCGACUUACUUGGUUUGAUUGGAAACGACAAGUGCAGCUUGUUCUGUAUGCAUCGUUCUGAUCAAAUUGGUCGAUUCGACUCUUUACAAAGCGUUUUUUCUAAAUCCAUGCUGGGAAUUCAAUUAUUUUACCCCAAGUACUAUUAUCAAGAACUAAAUGUGUUUUUUCCUUGAUUGUGAAAAAACGCCAAAUACCGAAACUUAAGAACAACUCUUAACAACGGAUAUCUUGGUUCUC